rnacentral:rRNA from 1 species
GACGAACGCUGGCGGCGUGCCUAAUACAUGCAAGUCGAGCGCAGGAAAUCAUCCGAACCCUUCGGGGGGACGUUGGUGGAAUGAGCGGCGGACGGGUGAGUAACACGUAAAGAACCUGCCCUCAGGUCUGGGAUAACCACGAGAAAUCGGGGCUAAUACCGGAUGGGUCAUCGGACCGCAUGGUCCGAGGAUGAAAGGCGCUUCGGCGUCGCCUGGGGAUGGCUUUGCGGUGCAUUAGCUAGUUGGUGGGGUAAUGGCCCACCAAGGCGACGAUGCAGAGCCGACCUGAGAGGGUGAUCGGCCACACUGGGAGUGAGACACGGCCCAGACUCCUACGGGAGUCAGCAGUAGGGAAUCGUCCACAAUGGACGAAAGUCUGAUGGAGCAACGCCGCGUGAACGAUGAAGGCCUUCGGGUCGUAAAGUUCUGUUGUAAGGGAAGAACAAGUGCCGCAGGCAAUGGCGGCACCUUGACGGUACCUUGCGAGAAAGCCACGGCUAACUACGUGCCAGCAGCCGCAGUAA